AGAUCAAAUUUGAUGAAGGUGUUAUCGGAACCCCACAACUGACCGACUCCAUUGUGCUACCUGAGAAGUUUGAGCUCUUUGGACAGAACAUCGACCUGAGCCCAUUGAAAGGCAUAUUUUCUUCCAUCGAAAAUGCAGCGUCCUCGGUUGCAAAUACCAUCUCUGGUCAGCCACCACUGAAGAUACCGAUUAGAACCAACAAUGCUGAGUCCUGGCUGCUCACAACCUACCUUGACGAAGAGCU
rnacentral:lncRNA from 1 species